rnacentral:rRNA from 1 species
AGUACAGCUUGGGAGACAGAGCACCGGGUGCUAACGUCCGGACUCAAGAGGGAAACAACCCAGACCGCCAGCUAAGGUCCCUAAAAUUGGCUAAGUGGGAAACGAAGUGGGAAGGCUAAAACAGUCAGGAUGUUGGCUUAGAAGCAGCCAUCAUUUAAAGAAAGCGUAAUAGCUCACUGAUCGAGUCGUCCUGCGCGGAAGAUGUAACGGGGCUAAGCCAGUUACCGAAGCUGCGGAUUUGCAAUUUAUUGCAAGUGGUAGGAGAGCGUUCUGUAGGCCUGUGAAGGUGUCUUGUAAAGGAUGCUGGAGGUAUCAGAAGUGCGAAUGCUGACAUGAGUAGCGUUAAAGGGGGUGAAAAGCCCCCUCGCCGUAAGCGCAAGGUUUUCUACGCAACGUUCAUCGGCGUAGAGUGAGUCGGCCCCUAAGGCGAGGCAGAGAUGCGUAGCUGAUGGGAAACAGGUCAAUAUUCCUGUACCGAUGUGUAGUGCGAUGUGGGGACGGAGAAGGUUAGCUCAGCAGACUGUUGGAUAUGUCUGUUCAAGCCUGUAGUCGUGCCUGGUAGGUAAAUCCGCCGGGCUUAGAUGAGGGGUGAUAACGAGGAAGCUUGCUUCCGAAGUGAGUGAUACCCUGCUUCCAGGAAAAGCCACUAAGCUUCAGCUACACACGACCGUACCGCAAACCGACACUGGUGCGCGAGAUGAGUAUUCUAAGGCGCUUGAGAGAACUCAGGAGAAGGAACUCGGCAAAUUGAUACCGUAACUUCGGGAGAAGGUAUGCCCCAAGUAGGUGAACUCGAACAGAGGGAGCCCAACGGGGUUGCAAAAAAUCGGUGGCUGCGACUGUUUAAUAAAAACACAGCACUCUGCAAACACGAAAGUGGACGUAUAGGGUGUGACGCCUGCCCGGUGCUGGAAGAUUAAAUGAUGGGGUGCAAGCUCUUGAUUGAAGUCCCAGUAAACGGCGGCCGUAACUAUAACGGUCCUAAGGUAGCGAAAUUCCUUGUCGGGUAAGUUCCGACCUGCACGA